GACGAACGCUGGCGGCGCGCCUAAUACAUGCAAGUCGAACGGAGUAUUAAGAGAGCUUGCUCUUUUAAUACUUAGUGGCGCACGGGUGAGUAAUGUAUAGUUAAUCUGCCCUACACUGGAGGACAACAGUUAGAAAUGACUGCUAAUACUCCAUACUCCUUCUUAACAUAAGUUAAGUCGGGAAAGUUUUUCGGUGUAGGAUGAGACUAUAUUGUAUCAGCUAGUUGGUAAGGUAAUGGCUUACCAAGGCUUUGACGCAUAACUGGUCUGAGAGGAUGAUCAGUCACACUGGAACUGAGACACGGUCCAGACUCCUGCGGGAGGCAGCAGUAGGGAAUAUUGCUCAAUGGGGGAAACCCUGAAGCAGCAACGCCGCGUGGAGGAUGACACUUUUCGGAGCGUAAACUCCUUUUGUUAGGGAAGAACCAUGACGGUACCUAACGAAUAAGCACCGGCUAACUCCGUGCCAGCAGCCGCGGUAAUACGGAGGGUGCAAGCGUUACUCGGAAUCACUGGGCGUAAAGGACGCGUAGGCGGAUUAUCAAGUCUUUUGUGAAAUCUAACAGCUUAACUGUUAAACUGCUUGAGAAACUGAUAAUCUAGAGUGAGGGAGAGGCAGAUGGAAUUGGUGGUGUAGGGGUAAAAUCCGUAGAGAUCACCAGGAAUACCCAUUGCGAAGGCGAUCUGCUGGAACUCAACUGACGCUAAUGCGUGAAAGCGUGGGGAGCAAACAGG
rnacentral:rRNA from 1 species